GGUUUAUAACUUUCUGAAACAAUUACCUUUUUGGCUGAAAUUUCUCAAGCUUGUUCUAAGCUCAGAGGUGAAUAUGUUUCAGUAAGUUUGAAA
rnacentral:pre_miRNA from 1 species